GGAAAGGAGGCUCAGGGACCUUCCCGCUCUCCACAGCUCCCGGAGAGGGGCUGCGGCCGGGCGGCGGCGGCUCUCUUCUCCGAGAUAACCAUCAACAAUACGGGGAAAUGGAGUCAAGAUGCACCAGGGGAGGUUUAACUUUGGAUACUUGGAAAAAUUUCUUCACUGUCUGGCUGCCCAGGGCAGUGUUUGGGUCACCACCGCUGAAGGUCUUUAAAAGACACGUGGAUGCGGCACUUGGGGACACGGUUUAGUGACGGACAUGGCUGUGCUGGAUGAACGACUGGACUCGGUGGUCUCACAGGUCCUUUGCCAGGCCUGAAGACCCCGUGAUUCCAUGGAAUGCCCCGCUCCCUGGAAAUUCGUUCUGUGGGCGCCGAAAAUACGGCGAAGAGCAACGGCGACAUCCAGCGGCGGCACGGGGCGCCUCGCAGGCCGGGCCCGCCGCGGGAGCGCCGCGCCGAGCGGCCAUCCAGGGAGUUCUCUAAAGGAUCAUGAAGGCGGGACAAAACAGCCAGGAUCAAGUGACAACUCAAGGACUGGUGUCAAAGAAAACAGACCAUGAACAGAUUUACUGACUUAACUGGACUAGCCACAAGGCUGGAAUUAUGUAUGUGCUUCAGUAUCUUGCCAGAUGAGUAAAAGAAGUGUUACUAUCCUGAAGAAUUUAACACUGUACUAAAAAUUCAACAGAAGGGAGUAAUUUUAACUACAACACGCUUGCAUGCAUGUGCCUUUACCUGCCAAUGGAGUUUUGCCAAAAAAUCCAGUGUCCUGCAUUGGUUUGGGUGUUUUGAAUCCCUCUACUAAAAAGAAAAAACAUGUUCAGGCUAAUUUUUCUAUUUUUUCUAAAAUAAAUAGCUGUAAUUGCUGAAGUCUUACA
rnacentral:lncRNA from 1 species